rnacentral:rRNA from 1 species
GAUGAACGCUGGCGGCGUGCCUAAUACAUGCAAGUCGAGCGAACAGACGAGGAGCUUGCUCCUCUGACGUUAGCGGCGGACGGGUGAGUAACACGUGGAUAUCCUACCUAUAAGACUGGGAUAACUUCGGGAAACCGGAGCUAAUACCGGAUAAUAUAUUGAACCGCAUGGUUCAAUAGUGAAAGACGGUUUUGCUGUCACUUAUAGAUGGAUCCGCGCCGCAUUAGCUAGUUGGUAAGGUAACGGCUUACCGAGGCGACGAUGCGUAGCCGACCUGAGAGGGUGAUCGGCCACACUGGAACUGAGACACGGUCCAGACUCCUACGGGAGGCAGCAGUAGGGAAUCUUCCGCAAUGGGCGAAAGCCUGACGGAGCAACGCCGCGUGAGUGAUGAAGGUCUUCGGAUCGUAAAACUCUGUUAUUAGGGAAGAACAAAUGUGUAAGUAACUAUGCACGUCUUGACGGUACCUAAUCAGAAAGCCACGGCUAACUACGUG